AACUGUGGAUUCAGUCGUCUAUUGCACGCUCAGUGACAGUCAGUUAUUCCAGGUCUUCCCUUUGUGAUCAGAAGAAGAAAACUAAGUAGAAGACCAUGGCAAGUCCUGACUGGGGAUAUGAUGGUGAAAACGGUCCUGAACACUGGUGCAAGCUGCAUCCCAUUGCAAAUGGAAAUAACCAGUCUCCUAUCGACAUUAAAACCAGUGAAACCAAGCGUGAUCCCUCUCUGAAACCUCUCAGUAUCUCCUACAAUCCAGCCACAGCCAAAGAAAUCGUCAACGUGGGACAUUCCUUCCAUGUAAACUUUGAGGACAGUGAUAAUAGAUCAGUGCUGAAAGGCGGCCCUCUACCUGAGAGCUACAGGCUGCGUCAGUUCCAUUUUCACUGGGGCAGCACCGAUGACUGUGGCUCUGAGCACUUAGUGGAUGGAGCCCCAUUUUCUGCAGAGCUUCAUUUAGUUCACUGGAAUUCUGCCAAGUACCCCAGCUUUGCUGAUGCCGCCUCACAGGCUGAUGGUUUGGUGAUUGUCGGCGUUUUGAUGAAGGUGGGUCACGCCAACCCAAACCUUCAGAAAGUACUUGAUGCCCUAAAAGCAGUUAAAACUAAGAACAAGAAAGCUCCAUUCACAAAUUUCGAACCCCUCUGUCCUCCUGCCUUCAUGCACGGAUUACUGGGCCUACUUUGGUUCACUGACUCACCCUCCUCUUCAUGAGAGUGUCACCUGGAUCAUCUUUAAAGAGACCAUCAGUGUGAGCGCGGAACAGCUGGCGCAGUUCCGCAGUCUGCUAGCAAAUGCUGAAGGCGAUCAAGAAGUCUGCAUCAAGCAGAACUACCGACCACCCAGCCUCUGAAGGGCAGGACAGUGAAAGCUUCAUUCUGACGGCCCUAGAGGAAGCUCACCUUCCCUCAAGAAGCACAGCUCUGCUUCUGACAUAAUCCAACAAAACAGCUUUAAGAAAUAUGUUUAUUUCAAUACUAGCAAGACAGCCUGCUUGCGAAUUUACUCUGCAGAACGCAAAAUCUUUUUCUUCUUUAUGUUGAACUCAAACAGUAAUCUGUAAGUUCACUAAACUUGUGCUUAAAUUCAA